AGAACACGCCAGGGUGGAGACAGGAGAUCUGUGUGCUUCCCGAGUACAGAUCACGGCUCAGCAUCUCAUGGGAAAGGGACAGGGCUCUCUUCAGGACACGCAGUAAGAUUUCAAGUGCGGGCACUUUUAAUACUCCGCGAUCCAAAGGCAGCUCCAGGGCCAGCCGCGGUUUCCGGCCUCAAGGGCAGGCUCGGUUCUGGAGCUCCCUCCAGUGGCCGUCGGGGUGCCGUCACUUUCAGGGCCCCACCAGGAGAGCAGGGGCCCCGCCGAGGACCAGAGCGCCUGGACCAGAGGGAGCCCUGCGCGGCCGGCACGGAUGCCUCUCAAUAGGCGGCAUGGGGCCGACACGACUCGGUCUCCACUGGCUCCUCAGAACAGGGCCCCUCAGCGCUGCAGUGUGUCACAUGUCCCCAGUUUCCCCUCGUGGUGCUCACGCCACACCCCUGGCACGGAGGCUGGAACCCAGGUGUCAGUCCUGGCUCUGACCAUGACCUUGGACAAACCACCCCUCAGACCUAGAGCCCUCAUGCACAUCCCCAUGGUCACUGCCACCCGGCAGGGAGCAGGACAGCCCCGGGGGUCUGUGACUGUCCCCGGGACAUCAGUCUGAGAAACAGCGCUGAGUUGGACGCUGCCUGGUGUGGACACUCGCCCUCCACAGUCACACAAACUCGGCUUUGCAAAAUCAGUUCUCAGUGAAGGAAAUAAUGUACACAGUGGUCCACUUCCAAGACACAGUGUCUUGCUUGCUUAGGUCAGCAAGCUACAGAAGACCAGGCCCCUGCCUGGGUUGCCGAUGCCUGCUUGUCGGCCUCCCCAUCCCCAGUCUUCCCCCCAACGCUUAGUUGCCUUCACCUGACCCAAAAACUUUUAGUCUAUGACGAAAGUUUUACUCGUCUGCAACAUAGCUUGUUUUGUCUGUUCUUAUCAGUCUGCCCAGCUACUUAGGUCAUAAGUCAAAUACCUGAAAAGCCCCUGAGCUGACUAGGAUUGCAACGCAUUGUGGGCUGCAACAAAAUGCAGCAGGACAACCCUAAAAAAACACCUACAGCCCCUGCCCGACAACCAAUAGGUGAUGUCCGGGAAGACUGUGACCCCAGAGUACUCAGCCUGUGAGGAACCGGGGGAGGGGCCUGCGUACUGGGGGAUAAAUGGCUUGUUGUGACCGUGCUGGGUGUGCCUGCCCACCAGACACCCGAUCUUGCAAGACCGUCAUUAAAAGUCUCACGUUUAGGCCGGG
rnacentral:lncRNA from 1 species